rnacentral:rRNA from 1 species
GUCUAUGACCAUACCACCCUGAACGUGCCUGAUCUUGUUUGAUCUCAGAAACUAAGCAGGGUUGGGCCUGGUUAGUACUUGGAUGGGAAAAAUCAGUGUUUUAAGUG